rnacentral:rRNA from 1 species
GUUUCGGUGGUGUUGGCGGAGGGGAAACGCCCGGUCCCACAUCGAACCCGGAAGCUAAGCCCUCCUGCGCCGAUGGUACUGCACUCGUGAGGGUGUGGGAGAGUAGGACGCUGCCGAACA